rnacentral:rRNA from 1 species
UACAGGGGGGGGCAAGCGUUGUUCGGAAUUACUGGGCGUAAAGGGCUCGUAGGUGGCCAACUAAGUCAGACGUGAAAUCCCUCAGCUUAACUGGGGAACUGCGUCUGAUACUGGAUGGCUUGAAUUCGGGAGAGGGAUGCAGAAUUCCAGGUGUAGCGGUGAAAUGCGUAGAUAUCUGGAGGAAUACCGGUGGCGAAGGCGGCAUCCUGGACCAACACUGACACUGAGGAGCGAAAGCCAGGGGAGCAAACGGG